rnacentral:rRNA from 3 species
CCUACGGGAGGCAGCAGUGGGGAAUCUUAGACAAUGGGCGCAAGCCUGAUCUAGCCAUGCCGCGUGAGUGAUGAAGGCCUUAGGGUCGUAAAGCUCUUUCGCCUGUGAUGAUAAUGACAGUAGCAGGUAAAGAAACCCCGGCUAACUCCGUGCCAGCAGCCGCGGUAAUACGGAGGGGGUUAGCGUUGUUCGGAAUUACUGGGCGUAAAGCGCACGUAGGCGGAUUGGAAAGUUGGGGGUGAAAUCCCGGGGCUCAACCCCGGAACUGCCUCCAAAACUAUCAGUCUAGAGUUCGAGAGAGGUGAGUGGAAUUCCAAGUGUAGAGGUGAAAUUCGUAGAUAUUUGGAGGAACACCAGUGGCGAAGGCGGCUCACUGGCUCGAUACUGACGCUGAGGUGCGAAAGUGUGGGGAGCAAACAGGAUUAGAUACCCUGGUAGUCCACACCGUAAACGAUGAAUGCCAGUCGUCGGGCAGUAUACUGUUCGGUGACACACCUAACGGAUUAAGCAUUCCGCCUGGGGAGUACGGUCGCAAGAUUAAAACUCAAAGGAAUUGACGG